rnacentral:rRNA from 1 species
CACGAGCGUAUAUAAACGUUGUUGACGUUAAAAAGUUCGUAGUCUAAUCUCAUGGAACCGUUCUGAUUGGCCCGGCAAAUUGCCGCGCGCCUGCAGACGUUCCAUUUCCUCCCGGUCGAGUGGCCAGGCCCUUAACUGGGUCGGGUUCUUUACUUGCCGGGUCGCUUACUUUGCCUAAAUAGGAGCGCUCAACGCACCGCUUACGCGGGUUGAACUCUUUGCAUGGAAUAAUGGAACAGGACUCUCUUCUUGUUUUGUUGGUUUUUGGGAAGAAGGUAAUGAUAAAUGGAAGCGGUUGGGGGCGAUUUGUAUUUGAGAGUCAGAGGUGAAAUUCUGGGAUUUCUCAAAGACAAACUACUGCGAAGGCAUCUCGCAAGGACGCUUUCGUCGAUCAAGAACGAUAGUCGAGGGAUCGAAGACGAUCAGAUACCAU